rnacentral:rRNA from 1 species
AUUGAACGCUGGCGGCAUGCUUUACACAUGCAAGUCGGACGAGUGGCGAACGGGUGAGUAACAUAUCGGAACGUACCGAGUAAUGGGGGAUAACUAAUCGAAAGAUUAGCUAAUACCGCAUAUUAUUCGAGCGGCCGAUAUCUGAUUAGCUGGUUGGUGGGGUAAAGGCGUACCAAGGCUACGAUCCGUAGCUGGUCUGAGAGGAUGAUCAGCCACACUGGGACUGAGACACGGCCCAGACUCCUACGGGAGGCAGCAGUGGGGAAUUGUGGACAAGGGGGGAAAGCCUGAUCCAGCCAUGCCGCGUGUAUGAAGAAGGCCGUCGGGUUGUAAAGUACUUUUGGCAGGGAAGCGGUACCUGAAGAAUAAGCACCGGCUAACUACGUGCCAGCAGCCGCGGUAAUAC